GAUGAACGCUAGCGGCAGGCCUAAUACAUGCAAGUCGGACGGGAUUGGGGAGCUUGCUCCCCAUGAGAGUGGCGCACGGGUGCGUAACACGUAUGUAACCUACCUUUAUCAGGGGGAUAGCCUCUCGAAAGAGAGAUUAAGCCCGCAUAAAAUCACAGCAUAGCAUUAUGCAAUGAUCAAAUAUUUAUAGGAUAAAGAUGGGCAUGCGGAACAUUAGCUAGUUGGUAAGGUAACGGCUUACCAAGGCUACGAUGUUUAGGGGAUCUGAGA
rnacentral:rRNA from 1 species